AGCUUUGCACAGUGGCAGUAUUGUAGCCAAUGAUGUUCAUCUGAGGCAUGAUUAUUGCUAAUUGAAAAAACAAACAACGAAAUAUCACUGCACAAGGAUAGCUCAGAUGAAAAAGUGUGAGGAUAUCCUGUGUUA